UACGUAGGGGGCGAGCGUUGUCCGAAGUUACUGGGCGUAAAGCGCGCGUAGGCGGUCUGUCGCGUCUGCUGUGAAAACUCGGGGCUUAACCCCGGGCCUGCAGUGGGUACGGGCAGACUAGAGUGCGGUAGGGGAGACUGGAAUUCCUGGUGUAGCGGUGAAAUGCGCAGAUAUCAGGAGGAACACCGGUGGCGAAGGCGGGUCUCUGGGCCGUAACUGACGCUGAGGAGCGAAAGCGUGGGGAGCGAACAGG
rnacentral:rRNA from 1 species